AAUGCAAUUCCUGGGUCAUAUAGUAAUUCUGUGUUUAAGUUUUUGAGGAAUUGUCAAAUUGUUUUCUGUAGAAGCUAAACCAUUUUGUAUUCCCACCAACAAU
rnacentral:pre_miRNA from 1 species